AACGAACGCUGGCGGCAUGCCUAACACAUGCAAGUCGAACGAGACCUUCGGGUCUAGUGGCGCACGGGUGCGUAACGCGUGGGAACCUGCCCUUAGGUUCGGAAUAACUCCCCGAAAGGGGUGCUAAUACCGGAUAAUGUCUUCGGACCAAAGAUUUAUCGCCUUUGGAUGGGCCCGCGUUGGAUUAGCUAGUUGGUAGGGUAAAAGCCUACCAAGGCGACGAUCCAUAGCUGGUCUGAGAGGAUGAUCAGCCACACUGGGACUGAGACACGGCCCAGACUCCUACGGGAGGCAGCAGUGGGGAAUAUUGGACAAUGGGCGAAAGCCUGAUCCAGCAAUGCCGCGUGAGUGAUGAAGGCCUUAGGGUAGUAAAGCUCUUUUACCCGGGAUGAUAAUGACAGUACCGAGAGAAUAAGCUCCGGCUAACUCCGUG
rnacentral:rRNA from 1 species